rnacentral:rRNA from 1 species
GUUCGUAGGCGGUGCGGCAAGUUGGGAGUGAAAUCUCUGGGCUUAACCCAGAGGCUGCUUUCAAACUGCCGUGCUCGAGUGCGAGAGAGGUCAGUGGAAUUGCAGGUGUAGCGGUGAAAUGCGUAGAUAUCUGCAGGAACACCCGUGGCGAAGGCGGCCGACUGGAUCGCAACUGACGCUGAGGAACGAAAGCUAGGGGAGCAAACAGGAUUAGAUACCCCGGUAGUCCUAGCCCUAAACCAUCAGGACUUGGGGUGGCCCGCGUAGGCGGGUCGUCCCGUAGCUAACGCGUUAAGUCCUGCGCCUGGGGAGUACGGUCGCAAGACUGAAACUCAAAGGAAUUGACGGGGGCCCGCACAAGCGGUGGAACAUGUGGUUCAAUUCGACGCAACGCGAAGAACCUUACCUGGGCUUGAACCGCUACUGACCAACGGUAGAAAUAUCGUCUUCCCGCAAGGGACAGUAGUAGAGGUGCUGCAUGGCUGUCGUCAGCUCGUGCCGUGAGGUGUUGGGUUAAGUCCCGCAACGAGCGCAACCCUUAUUCGUAGUU